UUGGUGGAAUGUGCGGGGAAGUUAAAUAGUGCGCAGAAUAGUGAACUCAUAAAUACGAUGAAAUAUGUUGCAAAAGAAAAUGACGAAAAUAGUGAUGUUGUGAAUUGCGAAAUUUCAAAUGAAACUUUUAGACAUUUAGCUUUCAAAACUUUGAGGGAUGUUUGGAAGUGGAAGAAAUGUUAGAGAAACCUGAGUUCGCACAAUCUAUGAUCAGUUAUGUCCACAAACUUAAAGGGACAUCGGACAAUAUUGAAAACUCUUUCAAAUAUAUGUAUAUUUGCAGUACACUCAGUCCUUUUUUUACACGAUUUUUGGUUCUGGUUAGUUUUCCAAUAUUAACUGACGAAUUGGAUCCGAAUAUAAAAAAUAUCGCGUAUAACAUAAUAUACGCGCAAAAAAAUAUUCAAAAACAAUACAAUAAGUUUCAAAUUUCAGACUUAUGAUUUAUUCAUUCAUAUCAAAAUAAAAAAUACAAAACAAAAACCAUAUAUAAAAGAGAUGAAAAUAGAAAAUAGGUAGAUUUAUUGAAAAAACCGUUGAAUGCUGUUUAAUCACUGUCAUUAUCCGUAGUUUAAAUUAUUCUUAGCCGCUUAUUUUGAUGGCCGGCACUGAGAUCACUAGAAUUUGUACCAGAAUCAAUAGUAAGAACUAUGGAUUGAUGUUCUGAUUUCUUAGCAUUUCCGACUGAGUUUUGUACCAUAUGUAAAUUCAGUUAAUUUUGUUUGAAUGCUUCUUUUUGGACCCAAUAAAUUCCGAUGUAGUUCUUUAUAUCUUAACAUGCAGAGACUCAAUUCUUUUUGAAAAAUUCGUGCACGUUUGGCAUCAGUAUCAUUUGCUACAAAAUAAUUUUCCAAUUCUGCUGCAAGUUUAAGAUCAAGCAAAAAACGAAAAAAAGCAAUCGCGUUAAAGUGAGAAAUUCGCGUAAAAAAAGGAAUUUGCGCUGCAAAAAUAACCGCGUUAAAGUGAAAUAGCGUAAAAAGAGGUCGCGUAAAAAAAGGACUGAGUGUAUUUCAAUUUUGAUGGAAGAGGAGAAAAACAAGCAUUAUGUAAGCUAAAAAUCUUCGAAGAAGUUUUAAGAGUCGUUUACCAGCCACGAGGAUCUUUCAAUUUGGAAAAGAGUAUACGGAAGUCUAUUGAACGGGGUCACCACCGAAAUAACAAAAAAAAUAUAUUAAUAGGAAAAGAAACAAUUAAUAUAAUUUUUCAAUGAUUUAAUUUUAUUUUAUUACC